UACGGAGGGGGCGAGCGUUUAUUCGGAAUUAUUGGGCGUAAAGGGCGCGUAGGCGGUCCGACAAGUCAAAGGUGAAAUCCCUCGGCUCAACUGAGGAACUGCCUUUGAAACUGUCGGACUUGAGUCCGGGAGAGGGUAGUGGAAUUCCCAAUGUAGCGGUGAAAUGCGUAGAUAUUGGGAGGAACACCAGUGGCGAAGGCGGCUAC
rnacentral:rRNA from 1 species